rnacentral:rRNA from 1 species
AGAGUUUGAUCAUGGCUCAGGACGAACGCUGGCGGCGUGCCUAACACAUGCAAGUCGAACGGAGUAUUCAUUUAUGGAUACUUAGUGGCGAACGGGUGAGUAACGCGUAGAUAACCUGCCUCUAAAAUGGGGACAACACCGCGAAAGUGGUGCUAAUACCGAAUGUGGUAUCUCGGUUGCAUGACUGAGAUAAGAAAGAUGGCCUCUACUUGUAAGCUAUCGUUUAGAGAUGGGUCUGCGUCUGAUUAGCUAGUUGGUGAGGUAAAGGCUCACCAAGGCGACGAUCAGUAGCCGGUCUGAGAGGAUGAACGGCCACACUGGGACUGAGACACGGCCCAGACUCCUACGGGAGGCAGCAGUGGGGAAUCUCCCGCAAUGGACGAAAGUCUGACGGAGCAACGCCGCGUGAGUGAAGAAGGUUUUCGGAUCGUAAAACUCUGUCGUUUGGGACGAACGUGCUUUGGGUAAAUAAUCUAAAGUAAUGACGGUACCAAAGGAGGAAGCCACGGCUAACUACGUGCCAGCAGCCGCGGUAAUACGUAAGUGGCAAGCGUUGUCCGGAAUUAUUGGGCGUAAAGGGCGUGUAGGUGGAUUCUUAAGUCGUGUGUCUAAGUGCGGGGCUCAACCCCGUAUGGGCGCAGGAAACUGGGGAUCUUGAGUGCAGGAGAGGAAAGUGGAAUUCCCAGUGUAGCGGUGAAAUGCGUAGAUAUUGGGAGGAACACCAGUGGCGAAGGCGACUUUCUGGACUGUGUCUGACACUGAGGCGCGAAAGCUAGGGGAGCGAACGGGAUUAGAUACCCCGGUAGUCCUAGCCGUAAACGAUGGGUACUAGGUGUAGGAGGUAUCGACCCCUCCUGUGCCGGAGUUAACGCAAUAAGUACCCCGCCUGGGGAGUACGGCCGCAAGGUUGAACUCAAAGGAAUUGACGGGGGCCCGCACAAGCGGUGGAGUAUGUGGUUUAAUUCGACGCAACGCGAAGAACCUUA